UUUCCGUAGUGGACCUGCGGAAGGAUCAUUAAUGAGUUGUCAUGGGGUUCGAUGCUGGCAGCCAAUUUUUGGAUGCAUGUGCUUGCCCUAACAAUCAUCUUCCAAACACCUGUGCACAUUUUUGAGGGAGUCUUGAGUUGGUUGCCGCUCUUGGGUGAUUUUCUCACAUUCCCUUAAAUCAUUAUACGCUAUUAACAAUGUUGAACGUGCUCUGUGCCGCAAGGCUAUUAAUAUAAUACAACUUUUAACAACGGAUCUCUUGGCUCUC
rnacentral:misc_RNA from 1 species